rnacentral:rRNA from 1 species
GGCUGUCGUCAGCUCGUGUUGUGAAAUGUUGGGUUAAGUCCCGCAACGAGCGCAACCCUUAUCCUUUGUUGCCAGCGAUUCGGUCGGGAACUCAAAGGAGACUGCCAGUGAUAAACUGGAGGAAGGUGGGGAUGACGUCAAGUCAUCAUGGCCCUUACGAGUAGGGCUACACACGUGCUACAAUGGCGCAUACAAAGAGAAGCGACCUCGCGAGAGCAAGCGGACCUCAUAAAGUGCGUCGUAGUCCGGAUUGGAGUCUGCAACUCGACUCCAUGAAGUCGGAAUCGCUAGUAAUCGUGGAUCAGAAUGCCACGGUGAAUACGUUCCCGGGCCUUGUACACACCGCCCGUCACACCAUGGGAGUGGGUUGCAAAAGAAGUAGGUAGCUUAACCUUCGGGAGGGCGCUUACCACUUUGUGAUUCAUGACUGGGGUGAAGUCGUAACAAGGUAACCGUAGGGGAACCUGCGGUUGGAUCACCUCCUUA